rnacentral:lncRNA from 1 species
UCCAACAAGUUUAAACAACUAUGAGUCCAAACAGAACAGAUUAUAAAACUUCUAAAAAUGCAGAAAAAUCAAAAUGGAAAACAAAUUGGUACAUGAAUCAAGCAUACAACAAUAAUCUCAACCACAAGCCUUAUCAUGAUUAAGCUAACAUUAAUUAAGACAAUUUAGAGCCUAUAUUAACCAACAACUUGAUUAUCAUGCAUAAAAUCUAAUUCAAACUCAGGAAUUGAAUAUGAAAUCCAAAUCACCAAAAGACCUACUACAAUUCAACUUAAUCUUAACUAAACUCAGGAAUUAAAAGAGACGGAAUUCAAACCAAUAGCAAGCCUCAACAACUCGACUAAAAUCAUGAAAUUCAGCUUCAACAAAGAAGACUAAUAACUAAUUAAACUCAUGAAGUUCAAACCAACAGAAUAAAAUUACUUUGACAUGAAAGCCAAACUAACAGAAACGACUAAUACAAUUUAAUUAAACCGAACUAAACCUAAUCUUAACCCUGGAAUUAAGCACGAAUAACCAAAUCGAUAGAAAUAAGAUGAGGAAGAAGGAAAAAAAGAAGGUAAGACAGAACACUUAGCUUGAGUGCAAUCUUCAUGCACUACCUUUAAGAUUCCAAAAACCCUAAAUUUGGUUUUAAGCUGUUGGAAACGCUCAAGUGAAGUUGAGUGCGGAUCUGAGAUAAGAGGGUUAAGGAGGUGUGAUUUUGGAUGAUUUGUUGGUGGUAGGGUUUUGGCGGGGGCUUUGAUUAAUAUUCUAGAAGAUCCAGGGGUGUUUGAAGAAGGUGGAGUGUAGCUUUGGACGAGGGAGAGACGGGGGUUCAGGGAUGUGAAUUGGGGAGCGGUUGGGUGGCUGCAACAUUGGACACGACGGAGGUGGCCGCUAUGGUUUCAAAGAUUCGAGCAGUUUAGGUGGGAUUUGAAGGAUGGUGAUUGCAGAUUUGGGUAGAGGAGAGGAAAGAGAAUCAAUGGUGUAAAUUUGGGACUAAUUGGAGCUUUGCUGCCGACGGAGGUUAUUUCUGGGCGGCGAUGCACAAUGGUGGACGGCGAAUUAGGGAGGCUCUUGGGUUUGCUGGGGUAGAG